GCUUGCCGGUGGCCUGCGCCAGCUGCUGGGUGAGCUCCGACAGAAACCCCUCUGGCACGGAGGCGCGGGGAACAUUGGUGUUCACGAUGAAUAUAGGCAUGGUGGCGGAGAGACUGUGAGCGUGGACCGGGGAACGGUACAAAGCGCGGUGUGACCCCCUAACAUCAUUUUUAAAAGGCUUUCCUGGGUUGUUCUGAGGCGGGCCUGCCCCAGAUCACCACGAAGCCCACUAAGGAUGAGCCUUUCUUAACUCCAGCAUGGUCAUCAGGCUUCCCACACCACAGUGGCCAUUUUCGGUCCCACUGUCUGCAAGCAAGACUCUCAAGUGUAAUUGCUAGAAUUUGUCUUUAUCGUAGCAUGGAUCUUAUAAAAUAGAAGUCUAUGAAAUGAAAUGGAAAUGGAAAAAAAGAUAACUUUUCCUUUCUGGA
rnacentral:lncRNA from 1 species